rnacentral:rRNA from 1 species
UCUCGCCUGUUUAACAAAAACAUUUCUCUUUGUUUAUAAAGAGUAGAGCCUGCCCGGUGUAAUAGUAAACGGCUGCGGUAGUCCUGACCGUACAAAGGUAGCAUAAUAAGUAGUUUUUUAAUUGGAGACUGGAAUGAAUGGUGUUAUAAGGGAAAGACUGUUUAAGUGCAAGAAUAAAAUUUGAUUAUUUGGUUCAAAGGCCAAGAUGAUACAAAGUGACAAGAAGACCCUAGGAGUUUUAUGGCUGUUAGUCAAGUUUAAAAUAUUAAAUGUAUUGUGUUUCUUGGCUUGACUCAGUCAUUUGACUGGGGCGGUUGAAAUUUUAUCAUUUUUGGCUAUUACAUAAUUUGUUGUAAUAUAAUUAGAAAUAAUAUAUCCUUAUUGGAAAACAAAAUAAAUUACCUUAGGGAUAACAGCAUAAUCUUUUUUGAGAGACCUUAUUGACAGAAAGGUUUGUGACCUCGAUGUUGGAUUUGAAUAACUGCAAGGAGCAGCAUUUUUGUAAGUUGGUUUGUUCAACCAUUAAAUUUCAACGUGAUCUGAGUUCAAACC